rnacentral:rRNA from 1 species
ACAAGCGGUGGAUGAUGUGGUUUAAUUCGAUGCAACGCGAAAACCUUACCACCUUGACAUGUACGGAACCUUUAGAGAUAGAGGGUGCUCGAAAGAGAGCCGUAACACAGGUGCUGCAUGGCUGUCGUCAGCUCGUGUCGUGAGAUGUUGGGUUAAGUCCCGCAACGAGCGCAACCCUUGUCAUUAGUUGCUACAUUCAGUUGGGCACUCUAAUGAGACUGCCGGUGACAAGCCGGAGGAAGGUGGGGAUGACGUCAAGUCCUCAUGGCCCUUAUAGGUGGGGCUACACACGUCAUACAAUGGCUGGUACAAAGGGUUGCCAACCCGCGAGGGGGGAGCCAAUCCCAUAAAGCCAUUCGUAGUCCGGAUCGCAGUCUGCAACUCGACUGCGUGAAGUCGGAAUCGCUAGUAAUCGUGGAUCAGAAUGUCACGGUGAAUACGUUCCCGGGUCUU